rnacentral:rRNA from 2 species
GGUUAAGCGACUAAGCGUACACGGUGGAUGCCCUGGCAGUCAGAGGCGAUGAAGGACGUGCUAAUCUGCGAAAAGCGUCGGUAAGGUGAUAUGAACCGUUAUAACCGGCGAUGUCCGAAUGGGGAAACCCAGUGCAAUUCGUUGCACUAUCGUUAACUGAAUACAUAGGUUAACGAGGCGAACCGGGGGAACUGAAACAUCUAAGUACCCCGAGGAAAAGAAAUCAACCGAGAUUCCCCCAGUAGCGGCGAGCGAACGGGGAGCAGCCCAGAGUCUGAAUCAGCUUGUGUGUUAGUGGAACGGUCUGGAAAGUCCGACGGUACAGGGUGAUAGUCCCGUACACCAAAAUGCACAGGCUGUGAACUCGAAGAGUAGGGCGGGACACGUGGUAUCCUGUCUGAAUAUGGGGGGACCAUCCUCCAAGGCUAAAUACUCCUGACUGACCGAUAGUGAACCAGUACCGUGAGGGAAAGGCGAAAAGAACCCCGGCGAGGGGAGUGAAAAAGAACCUGAAACCGUGUACGUACAAGCAGUGGGAGCACCUUCGGGUGUGACUGCGUACCUUUUGUAUAAUGGGUCAGCGACUUAUAUUCUGUAGCAAGGUUAACCGUAUAGGGGAGCCGCAGGGAAACCGAGUCUUAACUGGGCGUUAAGUUGCAGGGUAUAGACCCGAAACCCGGUGAUCUAGCCAUGGGCAGGUUGAAGGUUGGGUAACACUAACUGGAGGACCGAACCGACUAAUGUUGAAAAAUUAGCGGAUGACUUGUGGCUGGGGGUGAAAGGCCAAUCAAACCGGGAGAUAGCUGGUUCUCCCCGAAAGCUAUUUAGGUAGCGCCUCGUGAAUUCAUCUUCGGGGGUAGAGCACUGUUUCGGCUAGGGGGUCAUCCCGACUUACCAACCCGAUGCAAACUACGAAUACCGAAGAAUGUUAUCACGGGAGACACACGGCGGGUGCUAACGUCCGUCGUGAAGAGGGAAACAACCCAGACCGCCAGCUAAGGUCCCAAAGUCAUGGUUAAGUGGGAAACGAUGUGGGAAGGCACAGACAGCCAGGAUGUUGGCUUAGAAGCAGCCAUCAUUUAAAGAAAGCGUAAUAGCUCACUGGUCGAGUCGGCCUGCGCGGAAGAUGUAACGGGGCUAAACCAUGCACCGAAGCUGCGGCAGCGACACUAUGUGUUGUUGGGUAGGGGAGCGUUCUGUAAGCCUGCGAAGGUGUGCUGUGAGGCAUGCUGGAGGUAUCAGAAGUGCGAAUGCUGACAUAAGUAACGAUAAAGCGGGUGAAAAGCCCGCUCGCCGGAAGACCAAGGGUUCCUGUCCAACGUUAAUCGGGGCAGGGUGAGUCGACCCCUAAGGCGAGGCCGAAAGGCGUAGUCGAUGGGAAACAGGUUAAUAUUCCUGUACUUGGUGUUACUGCGAAGGGGGGACGGAGAAGGCUAUGUUAGCCGGGCGACGGUUGUCCCGGUUUAAGCAUGUAGGCUGGUUAUCCAGGCAAAUCCGGAUAAUCAAGGCUGAGGUGUGAUGACGAGGCACUACGGUGCUGAAGUAACAAAUGCCCUGCUUCCAGGAAAAGCCUCUAAGCAUCAGGUAACAUCAAAUCGUACCCCAAACCGACACAGGUGGUCAGGUAGAGAAUACCAAGGCGCUUGAGAGAACUCGGGUGAAGGAACUAGGCAAAAUGGUGCCGUAACUUCGGGAGAAGGCACGCUGGUGUGUAGGUGAAGUCCCUGCGGAUGGAGCUGAGACCAGUCGAAGAUACCAGCUGGCUGCAACUGUUUAUUAAAAACACAGCACUGUGCAAACACGAAAGUGGACGUAUACGGUGUGACGCCUGCCCGGUGCCGGAAGGUUAAUUGAUGGGGUUAUCCGUAAGGAGAAGCUCUUGAUCGAAGCCCCGGUAAACGGCGGCCGUAACUAUAACGGUCCUAAGGUAGCGAAAUUCCUUGUCGGGUAAGUUCCGACCUGCACGAAUGGCGUAAUGAUGGCCAGGCUGUCUCCACCCGAGACUCAGUGAAAUUGAACUCGCUGUGAAGAUGCAGUGUACCCGCGGCAAGACGGAAAGACCCCGUGAACCUUUACUAUAGCUUGACACUGAACAUUGAGCCUUGAUGUGUAGGAUAGGUGGGAGGCUUUGAAGCGUGGACGCCAGUCUGCGUGGAGCCAACCUUGAAAUACCACCCUUUAAUGUUUGAUGUUCUAACGUUGGCCCCUUACCGGGGUUGCGGACAGUGUCUGGUGGGUAGUUUGACUGGGGCGGUCUCCUCCCAAAGCGUAACGGAGGAGCACGAAGGUUAGCUAAUCCUGGUCGGACAUCAGGAGGUUAGUGCAAUGGCAUAAGCUAGCUUGACUGCGAGCGUGACGGCGCGAGCAGGUGCGAAAGCAGGUCAUAGUGAUCCGGUGGUUCUGAAUGGAAGGGCCAUCGCUCAACGGAUAAAAGGUACUCCGGGGAUAACAGGCUGAUACCGCCCAAGAGUUCAUAUCGACGGCGGUGUUUGGCACCUCGAUGUCGGCUCAUCACAUCCUGGGGCUGAAGUAGGUCCCAAGGGUAUGGCUGUUCGCCAUUUAAAGUGGUACGCGAGCUGGGUUUAGAACGUCGUGAGACAGUUCGGUCCCUAUCUGCCGUGGGCGCUGGAGAAUUGAGGGGGGCUGCUCCUAGUACGAGAGGACCGGAGUGGACGCAUCACUGGUGUUCGGGUUGUCAUGCCAAUGGCACUGCCCGGUAGCUAAAUGCGGAAGAGAUAAGUGCUGAAAGCAUCUAAGCACGAAACUUGCCCCGAGAUGAGUUCUCCCUGAGACUUUAAGUCUCCUGAAGGAACGUUAAAGACGAUGACGUUGAUAGGCCGGGUGUGUAAGCGCAGCGAUGCGUUGAGCUAACCGGUACUAAUGAACCGUGAGGCUUAACCUU